UCUGAGCGGGCUGGAGAGCGGCGAAAGGCCUGGGGCGUUAAGGGCUAGGAGCUGCGGAAAGGCAUUGCGUGUUGGCCCCCCCGGGUGCAAUUCUAGCCUCGCUGCACCGCCACCAGCCCUCGCGACCUGAGUCGCACCUGCUCACUCGCCUGGUCCACGAGCAACAGGUUCUGAGGCCGGGGUCCUCUGGCGCUGGUGGCUCCUCCUGCCCACGGUGCUCGUGUGCGUCUGGGGCCGGCCUGCGAGUGGUCCGGUACAUCCAGCUAGUGCGUGUUCUGCAGCCUGACAAAGCUCUGGACUUGCAGUAAAGUCAACUGUUGGGCCAGGUCCAGGAUCUCCUUGUAUAAAGCAAACUCCCUCUGGCUUGAUGAACGUACGUCUGAAAAAAAUUAAAAAGGCUCAAGACACAGAUGGGAAUGGUGAGGAUAUCCAGCUAAAGAAAAAAAUGCAAGUGACCAUGGGAUGGUGAAGGAGCCUACUCAAGGUAGUUGCUUCUUUCUUUUUCUUAUGAAGCAUGCAGAGAGAAGAAGCAUCUGUUCUGAGAGCAAGGAGGAUUAAAACAUAAAUUAACAGUUCAGUCCCAGUGAGCCACCUUCUGUAUCUGAGUCAGAGAGAAGAGAGCCAGUUACACAAAAAAUCAUAUGUGGGGAAGAGUAAGGAGUUUGGAAUCAGCCACAUCUGCCUUUGAAUCCUCUCUGCCAUUUACUAGGUGCAUGAUCUUUGAGCGCAUCCCGUUACCACACUAUCAUCGGUUUGGGACAAAAGACGAGAGUGAAAACACUGAGACAGAAUGUUCUUUCUGAGAAAUAGUCGGAUCUCGAUGAAAUUCGGAGCAGACUCCUUAGCAAGAGGAUUGUUUGUUCGCUGCUUGGCUGCAGGAAGACCUGCUGAUUGUCAAAUCUUUGGAGGGGCCUUGUGAUCCUCCUUAUGUCAGAGAUCAGCAAUCAAGCUUCUUCCUGUGUUUGCAGAAAGAACUGAAGAGUUUCCAGUUUCAUGUCCCUGUCUGUGAAGAGCAGUACUUCCUACCACUUGUGGGUUUCCAUCACUCCCAGGAGCUUCCCUGGUGAAAUGUGAAACUGCCUCCACCCCCAGCCCCGAAGGGCAAGGAGAGACUGAAGAAAGGGGCAGGCUACUCCAGACUGGCAGCAACCAUCAACUGACGUGGAAUUUGACCGCGUAGUGAUUUAUACUACUUGCCUUCGUGUGGUACGGACAACCUUUGAAAGGUGUGAACUGGUUAGAAAGAUCUUCCAAAACCAUCGGGUAAAAUUUG